AUACCUAAGUACACUUUAAUUAACUUAGCUUAGACUUUGUUGAGUUUUAUGAAGACAGUUCAAUGGAACUGACAUUUGUUACAUUUAUAGUUAAAAGUUAGAGCUACUUGAUGUGGAUUAGAUAACCAUCAGGUAUCCUUGGAGACCCAGGGUUCUAAUCACAUCUGUAGACCACUUAAAAACAUAGUCUUAACAGAUCAGUUCCAAACUGUCACGGUCAUUCUGAAUUUUGAUUGGUACCAAAACUUCAAUCUUGUUCUGGCAAAUGAGAGAGAAGCAGGUCUCACAAGUCCUCUUGUGUGCUCUAACACAAAGUGAUACAUGAAAUUCAGUUGCUUACCAUAUUUGUUUUGGACCUUUUUGUAUGGUAGAUUAGCACUUUGCAUGAUGAUGUGAAGUCGACCAUUUGCAUGAUGAUGUCAAGUUCACCCAUUCAUUUCUCCACGUGACUUGAAUUUGGUAGACUCACUGGCAUGAAAUUACAAUUUCAAUAAUAAGAAAACUUAAAAGCUUCUGGUAGUUUAAAUCACAUGAUACCAUCAUGAACUUGCCUGUACAUUGAACUCUGCUGUGUUUAAGUAAUGUCUCUGAUUACUGUUCCUGAAAUCUAUUAUGGUGACACUCUAUCUCUAUUGAACUUUCUGUUAAAUAAAACCUCCAGGUCAAAUUGUAAAUCUUAUUGGGUUAAAAAUUAUUAGCAACGUUAAUGUAAUGUUACUUCAGAGUACUUAACUCAACAUAUGAUUCAUUAAAGUAUUGCUAGUGCUCUGA